rfam:Cavia porcellus supercont2_234 genomic scaffold, whole genome shotgun sequence.
GGGGAUUUAGCUCAGCGGCAUAAGCACCUGCCUCUCAAGCAGGCAGUCCUGAGUUCGAUCCCCA